rnacentral:rRNA from 1 species
GCAGGCUGCAACUCGCCUGCAUGAAGUCGGAAUUGCUAGUAAUCGCGGAUCAGCAUGCCGCGGUGAAUACGUUCCUGGGCCUUGUACACACCGCCCGUCACACCAUGGGAGUCGGUAACACCCGAAGCCGAUAGUCUAACGAAAGAGGACGUCGUCGAAGGUGGGAUUGAUGACUGGGGUGAAGUCGUAACAAGGUAUC